rnacentral:rRNA from 1 species
UACAGAGGGUGCAAGCGUUAAUCGGAAUUACUGGGCGUAAAGCGUGCGUAGACGGUUACAUAAGUCGGGUGUGAAAGCCCCGGGCUCAACCUGGGAAUUGCAUUCGAGACUGCGUAGCUAGGGUGCGGAAGAGGGAAGCGGAAUUUCCGGUGUAGCGGUGAAAUGCGUAGAUAUCGGAAGGAACACCAGUGGCGAAAGCGGCUUCCUGGUCCAGCACCGACGUCAGGCACGAAAGCGUGGGGAGCAACAGG